GCAUAUCAAUAAGCGGAGGAAAAGAAACCAACAGGGAUUGCCUUAGUAACGGCGAGUGAAGCGGCAAAAGCUCAAAUUUGAAAUCUGGCGCCUUCGGUGUCCGAGUUGUAAUUUGAAGAAGGUAACUUUGGAGUUGGCUCUUGUCUAUGUUCCUUGGAACAGGACGUCACAGAGGGUGAGAAUCCCGUGCGAUGAGAUGCCCAAUUCUAUGUAAAGUGCUUUCGAAGAGUCGAGUUGUUUGGGAAUGCAGCUCUAAGUGGGUGGUAAAUUCCAUCUAAAGCUAAAUAUUGGCGAGAGACCGAUAGCGAACAAGUACAGUGAUGGAAAGAUGAAAAGAACUUUGAAAAGAGAGUGAAAAAGUACGUGAAAUUGUUGAAAGGGAAGGGCUUGAGAUCAGACUUGGUAUUUUGCGAUCCUUUCCUUCUUGGUUGGGUUCUCCGCAGCUUACUGGGCCAGCAUCGGUUUGGAUGGUAGGAUAAUGAUUAAGGAAUGUGGCUCUACUUCGGUGGAGUGUUAUAGCCUUGGUUGAUACUGCCUGUCUAGACCGAGGACUGCGUCUUGACUAGG
rnacentral:rRNA from 1 species